UAUUUCCACGAUUUGCACCACCUGCUUGGCGUGCUCGGUGAUGUCCACUGUGGUGUAAUCUACAGGGAACAAAAGUUUUCAGGAAGAUUAGUUAACGAAGAGAUCAACAGACUGAAGUGUGAGGUAAAAUACAACCAUCUGUUACCUUGCUACUGGACGCAUUUAGCAUGACUGCUGCCACAUCGAUGGAAUUCAGACUGCUGGCAGCUGGUAGCAGAGGCUCUUCCCUCUCCCUGUGGGCAUCACCAGGAACAGAUCUUUGCCCGACAGAGUGAGGUUCAUGGCCC